rnacentral:rRNA from 1 species
GGGUUGUGAGGUUAAGCGACUAAGCGUACACGGUGGAUGCCCUGGCAGUCAGAGGCGAUGAAGGACGUGCUAAUCUGCGAUAAGCGUCGGUAAGGUGAUAUGAACCGUUAUAACCGGCGAUUUCCGAAUGGGGAAACCCAGUGUGAUUCGUCACACUAUCAUUAACUGAAUCCAUAGGUUAAUGAGGCGAACCGGGGGAACUGAAACAUCUAAGUACCCCGAGGAAAAGAAAUCAACCGAGAUUCCCCCAGUAGCGGCGAGCGAACGGGGAGCAGCCCAGAGCCUGAAUCAGUGUGUGUGUUAGUGGAAGCGUCUGGAAAGGCGCGCGAUACAGGGUGACAGCCCCGUACACAAAAAUGCACAUGCUGUGAGCUCGAUGAGUAGGGCGGGACACGUGGUAUCCUGUCUGAAUAUGGGGGGACCAUCCUCCAAGGCUAAAUACUCCUGACUGACCGAUAGUGAACCAGUACCGUGAGGGAAAGGCGAAAAGAACCCCGGCGAGGGGAGUGAAAAAGAACCUGAAACCGUGUACGUACAAGCAGUGGGAGCACGCUUAGGCGUGUGACUGCGUACCUUUUGUAUAAUGGGUCAGCGACUUAUAUUCUGUAGCAAGGUUAACCGAAUAGGGGAGCCGAAGGGAAACCGAGUCUUAACUGGGCGUUAAGUUGCAGGGUAUAGACCCGAAACCCGGUGAUCUAGCCAUGGGCAGGUUGAAGGUUGGGUAACACUAACUGGAGGACCGAACCGACUAAUGUUGAAAAAUUAGCGGAUGACUUGUGGCUGGGGGUGAAAGGCCAAUCAAACCGGGAGAUAGCUGGUUCUCCCCGAAAGCUAUUUAGGUAGCGCCUCGUGAAUUCAUCUCCGGGGGUAGAGCACUGUUUCGGCAAGGGGGUCAUCCCGACUUACCAACCCGAUGCAAACUGCGAAUACCGGAGAAUGUUAUCACGGGAGACACACGGCGGGUGCUAACGUCCGUCGUGAAGAGGGAAACAACCCAGACCGCCAGCUAAGGUCCCAAAGUCAUGGUUAAGUGGGAAACGAUGUGGGAAGGCCCAGACAGCCAGGAUGUUGGCUUAGAAGCAGCCAUCAUUUAAAGAAAGCGUAAUAGCUCACUGGUCGAGUCGGCCUGCGCGGAAGAUGUAACGGGGCUAAACCAUGCACCGAAGCUGCGGCAGCGACGCUGAUGCGUUGUUGGGUAGGGGAGCGUUCUGUAAGCCUGUGAAGGUGUACUGUGAGGUAUGCUGGAGGUAUCAGAAGUGCGAAUGCUGACAUAAGUAACGAUAAAGCGGGUGAAAAGCCCGCUCGCCGGAAGACCAAGGGUUCCUGUCCAACGUUAAUCGGGGCAGGGUGAGUCGACCCCUAAGGCGAGGCCGAAAGGCGUAGUCGAUGGGAAACAGGUUAAUAUUCCUGUACUUGGUGUUACUGCGAAGGGGGGACGGAGAAGGCUAUGUUGGCCGGGCGACGGUUGUCCCGGUUUAAGCGUGUAGGCUGGUUUUCCAGGCAAAUCCGGAAAAUCAAGGCUGAGGCGUGAUGACGAGGCACUACGGUGCUGAAGCAACAAAUGCCCUGCUUCCAGGAAAAGCCUCUAAGCAUCAGGUAACAUCAAAUCGUACCCCAAACCGACACAGGUGGUCAGGUAGAGAAUACCAAGGCGCUUGAGAGAACUCGGGUGAAGGAACUAGGCAAAAUGGUGCCGUAACUUCGGGAGAAGGCACGCUGAUAUGUAGGUGAAGUCCCUCGCGGAUGGAGCUGAAAUCAGUCGAAGAUACCAGCUGGCUGCAACUGUUUAUUAAAAACACAGCACUGUGCAAACACGAAAGUGGACGUAUACGGUGUGACGCCUGCCCGGUGCCGGAAGGUUAAUUGAUGGGGUCAGCGCAAGCGAAGCUCUUGAUCGAAGCCCCGGUAAACGGCGGCCGUAACUAUAACGGUCCUAAGGUAGCGAAAUUCCUUGUCGGGUAAGUUCCGACCUGCACGAAUGGCGUAAUGAUGGCCAGGCUGUCUCCACCCGAGACUCAGUGAAAUUGAACUCGCUGUGAAGAUGCAGUGUACCCGCGGCAAGACGGAAAGACCCCGUGAACCUUUACUAUAGCUUGACACUGAACAUUGAGCCUUGAUGUGUAGGAUAGGUGGGAGGCUUUGAAGUGUGGACGCCAGUCUGCAUGGAGCCGACCUUGAAAUACCACCCUUUAAUGUUUGAUGUUCUAACGUGGACCCGUGAUCCGGGUUGCGGACAGUGUCUGGUGGGUAGUUUGACUGGGGCGGUCUCCUCCUAAAGAGUAACGGAGGAGCACGAAGGUUGGCUAAUCCUGGUCGGACAUCAGGAGGUUAGUGCAAUGGCAUAAGCCAGCUUGACUGCGAGCGUGACGGCGCGAGCAGGUGCGAAAGCAGGUCAUAGUGAUCCGGUGGUUCUGAAUGGAAGGGCCAUCGCUCAACGGAUAAAAGGUACUCCGGGGAUAACAGGCUGAUACCGCCCAAGAGUUCAUAUCGACGGCGGUGUUUGGCACCUCGAUGUCGGCUCAUCACAUCCUGGGGCUGAAGUAGGUCCCAAGGGUAUGGCUGUUCGCCAUUUAAAGUGGUACGCGAGCUGGGUUUAGAACGUCGUGAGACAGUUCGGUCCCUAUCUGCCGUGGGCGCUGGAGAACUGAGGGGGGCUGCUCCUAGUACGAGAGGACCGGAGUGGACGCAUCACUGGUGUUCGGGUUGUCAUGCCAAUGGCACUGCCCGGUAGCUAAAUGCGGAAGAGAUAAGUGCUGAAAGCAUCUAAGCACGAAACUUGCCCCGAGAUGAGUUCUCCCUGACUCCUUGAGAGUCCUGAAGGAACGUUGAAGACGACGACGUUGAUAGGCCGGGUGUGUAAGCGCAGCGAUGCGUUGAGCUAACCGGUACUAAUGAACCGUGAGGCUUAACCUUACAACGCCGAAG